rnacentral:misc_RNA from 1 species
UUUCCGUAGGUGAACCUGCGGAAGGAUCAUUAUCGUACAACUGAGGUGCGAAGGCUGUCGCUGACCUUCAAAGGUCGUGCACGCCCGAGUGCUCUCACAUCCAUCUUUACCCCCUUGUGCACUGCCGCGUGGGCCCCCAUUUUUGCAAAGGGGGGCUUGCGUUUUAACAUAAAACUUGAUAUGGUGUAGAAUGUCUUUUCUUUUGCGGUUACACGCAAUCAAUACAACUUUCAACAACGGAUCUCUUGGCUCUC